CCCUUAGAUGUUCUGGGCCGCACGCGCGCUACACUGAUGCAUUCAACGAGUCUAAAACCUGCUCUGAUAGGGGUGGGUAAUCUUUUGAAUGUGCAUCGUGAUUGGGAUAGAUGAUUGAAAUUUUUCAUCUUCAACGAGGAAUGCCUAGUAAACGCAAGUCAUCAGCUUGCAUUGAUUACGUCCCUGCCCUUUGUACACACCGCCCGUCGCUACUACCGAUUGGAUGGUUUAGUGAGAUCCUUGGAUUGGUCCUGGCGUGGCGGGUCACCGCCGUGCCAGUGUGCCGAGAAGACGAUCGAACUUGAUCAUCUAGAGGAAGUAAAAGUCGUAACA
rnacentral:rRNA from 1 species